AGAGUUUGAUCCUGGCUCAGGACGAACGCUGGCGGCACGCUUAACACAUGCAAGUCGAACGCCCUCGACCUUCGGGUCAUAUGGGGGAGUGGCGAACGGGUGAGUAACACGUGAGAAACCUGCCUCGAAGAUUGGGACAACCACUGGAAACGGUGGCUAAUACCGAAUACCUUCCUACCGUCGCAUGGCGGUUUGAAGAAACGNUCCGGCGCUUUGAGAGGGUCUCGCGGCCUAUCAGCUAGUUGGUGAGGUAAUGGCUCACCAAGGCAUCGACGGGUAGCUGGUCUGAGAGGACGAUCAGCCACACUGGGACUGAGACACGGCCCAGACUCCUACGGGAGGCAGCAGUGGGGAAUCUUGCGCAAUGGGCGAAAGCCUGACGCAGCGAUGCCGCGUGGGGGAUGAAGGCUCUCGGGUCGUAAACCCCUUUCAGCAGGGACGAAAAUGACGGUACCUGCAGAAGAAGCCCCGGCCAACUACGUGCCAGCAGCCGCGGUAAU
rnacentral:rRNA from 1 species